rnacentral:rRNA from 1 species
AGUGAACGCUGGCGGUAGGCCUAACACAUGCAAGUCGAACGGCAGCACAGUAAGAGCUUGCUCUUACGGGUGGCGAGUGGCGGACGGGUGAGGAAUACAUCGGAAUCUACUUUUUCGUGGGGGAUAACGUAGGGAAACUUACGCUAACACCGCAUACGACCUACGGGUGAAAGCAGGGGAUCUUCGGACCUUGCGCGAUUGAAUGAGCCGAUGUCGGAUUAGCUAGUUGGCGGGGUAAAGGCCCACCAAGGCGACGAUCCGUAGCUGGUCUGAGAGGAUGAUCAGCCACACUGGAACUGAGACACGGUCCAGACUCCUACGGGAGGCAGCAGUGGGGAAUAUUGGACAAUGGGCGAAAGCCUGAUCCAGCCAUACCGCGUGGGUGAAGAAGGCCUUCGGGUUGUAAAGCCCUUUUGUUGGGAAAGAAAAGCAGCAGGUUAAUACCCCGCUGUUCUGACGGUACCCAAAGAAUAAGCACCGGCUAACUUCGUG